AGAAAUCGAGCACAGCACCGGUGGGC
rnacentral:piRNA from 1 species